CCCACAGCCAUUCCUGCAGCCGUUACCACAGCCGUUCCUGUUCUGUGGUGACCUGCAGCCGUUCCUGCAGCAGUUCCUGCAGCCAUUUCUCCUCUGUGCUCCUGGAGACCUGUCCUGUGCUGUGCUGUGGUGGCACCAGAGCGUGGAGCAGCCCCUGGCCUCGAGGGAGCUGCUGCUACUUCUUCCAACCUGCUGAACCACAUUGAAUCCAGAUGGGCCAGCCUAGGACACGUGUUCCUGCUGGGAUGGGCACUCUGCCCCACCUUGCUGCCUCCUCCAUGAGAGUGUGAGAGCUUGGACCAACAGCCACCUCCUCAAAUGGCAACAAAAGACUCCUUGCCAUUAGCCAGGCUGGCUCAAAGUGCAGCAGAGAAGGGGAUUUUUUUGGCAGGGCUGCAGAUUGCACACAUAUACAGCUCAUCACCUACUGCUGCCAGUGAUGCUCUGGGCUAAGUUAUAAAGUCAUCUCCUUGCUCCUUGCCUCCCUUUCCACAGCUGUGGCCGUGGGCUCUGUGAGAAUUGGCACACCAGGAGAUUUCUUGGGUGGCUACUGUGGUGACACAGAGAGAGAUGUAUGAGCAAUACUCCAAAUGGAAUCCCUGACAAGAAGGAAUUUUGAAGCCUGACUUGAGUUCAAGAAUAACCCCAGAAGAAAAAUUCUUCUUCUACCUUCCCUCCUGAGAAGUGAGCUGAGGUCAGUUGUCUCCAUUCCUGCUUUCCAUGGUCUUGUAUAAAACAAUCUGCAUGAAAACUUGAGGGUGAAAAAGCCAAAAGCUUCAUGCUGUAAAUUUUGAAAUGGCACAAUUGCAGCACUCUUGGCAUUUUUGUUUUUCUUCUGGAUGUUUUCCUUCCAAAGCAAAGUGCAGUCAAAAAAAAAACAAACCAAAAAAACCAAUCUUUUUUUGCUAAGUGAUUCCUUUCUGGCAUAUUUCAAAGAAAGAGGUGUGUAUUCCUUUUAUUUAGCCUGUUAACCACAUAACGUAUAUGGUUAUUCUGCAGCUUCCCCAACCAUUUCUAUUCACUACUGCUUCAGACAAAGCAGGAUCCUAGUGUGUCCUUUUGGGAUCCUGGCUAUCCUAACACUCAGAGCUCAAGGUUGGAAGGAAGCUUCACUAUUAUUUCUUCCCUGCCCUUUGUUAUUAUCAUCAUUAUUAUUGGCAGUAGCAAAUGCUGUUCAAAGGUGCUGCACAUCUUCAGCUCCCAUGGGAGUCCCUGGCUCCAUGAAGGAUUCAUGUCUGGGAUGCACAGGCACUGUGGUCAGUCCUGGCCACCCUGCAGCCCUUCUCCAAGUGCAGCAGGAAGAAGGGCAUUGCCACAGAGGAGGAUUCCAGGGUUAAGGUGCUCCUUGUGGGCAGGAGGUCCCAGGUGCUUUGGGAACAUUUUCUGCAGUGCCCUAACCCUGGUCAGUGCUGAAGAUGCCCAGGCACAGUGUGCUGACCGCCUGCUUCAUUUCACAGCAGCACUGCUGCAUUUCUUGGAGAAUAAAUAUUCCCUCUCCUGCUCUUCACAGGAACCCCUUGAUUUCAUGGGGGUAAAAAAGUCUUGAUUUUUCUUUAUCUUUCUUAUUCCUUUAGCCUGUUCGACUCACUGAUUCAUUUCAUACACUGAAAGUUGCAUUCCAUUUUUGAGCUUAAUUUGUUUCCCUUUUUCUGUUUCUUUUUGUUGUUAUUGGUUAGCUCCAGAAGGAGCAGUCUGGAUGCUUUGUCUGCCCAAAAUGAGGGUUUCUUACUUUGCCAUCUCUCCCCAGGAUUUUGUUACAUUCCCCUAGAGUUUAUCUGUACCAUGCACUUCAGAGCUGCUCCCAGGAGCAAAGGCUGAGUCCUGCAUCAGCAGCUGAGCUAAAGCAGAACUGGUGGGACAGCCCUGUACCCCAGAGCCCUCAGCCAGCCCCCUGAGCCAUGGGGAUGUCAUGACUGAUGUUCCUGCGGGCCAGAAGCCCUGUCUGUGCCACUGCAGAGCCCAGGCGUGCCCAGGACAAGAGCAGCUGGCCGUGCCCAUCUCUCCUCUCUUUUCUCCUUCCAGACUUUACUGCGUUUAUCCUCUUAGCACCUCUGUAAUUAUCUGUCUGUAGCAGAUGAGACACAGAAGAGCAUGCAGGUUUGCAAUUUGAGCUGGGCCACGCAGGAGCUCUUUGCAGAGGAGGCAGCCUCCUGAGGGGUGAGUAAUGUCCUUUUGUCAAUCCCAUUAGACUCCUGCUUGUGUCCUCACACACCUAGAGACAAGCCCAAAUCACUGAGCCUGACUCUGGCACCUUUCACCCCGUCCCAGCACAACUCCCAAAAACUGCAGAGCAGUUCCACUCUGAUUCACUUUGAAGGCUCAGGUCUUAUUUAUGCCACCAAUGUAAACAUCAUUUUAGUCUGACAAAUACACAGAAAGUUCACAACAGCUGCCGUUGUGUGCAGUGCCCUGCAGAGCAAUCUUGCCCUCACAGCUAGAUUUUUACCAGUGUGACUGGAAAAGGGAAUCAGAUGGUGCUUGGCUUUGAAUGCAGGUGUAUGGGCAGCUCUAUGAGCAGUUAAACCCAGAACUACACCAGGAACCUGAUUAUGGCUUUAGACCCUGAGUCAGCAGCAGGAGUCAAGUGGAGGCAGCCAGGGCAGCUUGAGGGAGGCUGAGCAGAGCAGAGACUCUGUAAAACAGCAGUGAGACCAGGUCUGCUGAACAUCCUUCCUGCUGAGUGAGUCAGCAGCAGUUUAAUUAGGCAUAGCUGGGCAGGGAGCAGCAGUUAUGACAGAAGAGGCUUUGCUUGAUAGGAUCGUUUUCAGCACAAUAAUAUUAAUUAGCAAUUGCGAUAGGGAACAUGAGGCAGGUGGAGCACUUUCUGUCAAGGUAUUUUUGUAAGGAAUUAGCCUGUAUAAACACCCAUUGUAAAUACAUUGUCCUUGUCAGGUGUAAUAACUGCCUGGGCACACGGCAUCCUUCCUCACAAUGCAAAGAUAAUUAAAGACGCAAUUCCACUCUCCGGUGCUUCUCCCAGCUGCUAAUUGUGUCACCCCAGAGAUCCAAACAAUUAUAGCAGGAAAACACUGGGGGACUGUUAACAGUCAUUUCCAAAGUGUGGACAAUAAAUAGAUUGAGAAAACGCUGUGAGCGUUGAGCCAGCCUUGGAAAAAGCUAGAGGAAAAUCUGUAUUUCUGACGCAAACAUGGAAAUUUGAAAUGGGAGUGAGGUGUCUAAACAUCUUGGAGGAACUUAGACCCUGAGCUUUCUGGAGCCAAAUCCCACCCUAGCCUAGAAACAAUUUCAUAUUUCACAGCCUUCACAUUUUCCCCGGAUGAACGUUGUUCUUAGAAGCUUAUACAAGGAGGGCGAAUCCUGAAGACAUUACUUAAAGGAAAUUUCUAUUCAUGUCGCUGAAUAUUCACCACUGAUAAUCCUGGUAAUAAUUCUCAUGAAAAACUGUGUUACAGUGCAUGUUGUAAUUUGU